AAAUCAUUGAUUUUUGAUUUUUUUAAGAAAUACAAAAAAUCACCAACCCUGCUCCGCAGGGAGAUAGCCACCCGUGUUGCGUCAACUCCCAUUAACAAUGCUGUCCUCACAACCCCACCACCACCAAUUGCAGCAGAAGAGGCUUUGCCCCCUCAUCGUUACUGCUCAGUGCUAUCCCAGCUACACUCGGGAUACUGCAGCUCCCUUGCAUCCUACACCCACAUGGUGUAGCGCUCCCUUAGCGCCGCUUGCCUGGAAUGCUGGGAUCCCCUCCAAUCCGUCCAGCACCUCUUUGCCUUCCCCAUGUCCCUCAGCAUCUCAUCUAUGUGCGACAACCCUGUGUAGGCGUCGGCGUUCCUGGCCACCCUCCCUGCUUUCGCCCAUCUUCCCCCUCUUUCAGUGCCACCCCUCCGACCAUCACCGGAGCCUCCACCCACGCGAGGUGACUUUUGGCGCAAGGAACAAUGACAAGAGAAGGAAAGAUAGACUGCAUAGAAAAGUUCUGCAAAUUCAGGCUGAAAUUGAUUCACUUCAGAAAUAGAGUUGGUUUUCUCCAUGUCAGCCAUGAGUGGAAGUGAAGAACAACUUUGGAGUUUUUAGAGUCUCAGCUUAAACAACUAGAACAGAAAAUGUUUGGCUCAGCUCCAAGAGACACAAAUUAUCCAGAGGUGAUCAGCACAUUGGCUGUGCUGAGCACUGAUCUGGGCAAUGCUCUGAGCACCCGGGACCGCAUGAUGGCUGUCAUGAAGAGGCUUGAUGAGCUGGAUGAGUACUUGGAUCCUUGCUACGGGACGUCUGCCUCCCAGCUUCCUGUGGGCACACUGAGCGACGUUCUUCUGAGCCAGGAGCAGCACUGGCAGCAGCAGCACCAGCGUCUCCAGCACCUCACACAGCUCAGACCUGUGCUCAACUCCCAGCCUAUUGCUGGUGAUCAGUGAAAUGCUGCUCAUUUUGCCUUCGAGACAAUUCAAAAUAAAGACUGCAUGGCUGACGGGGAGAAGCUGAUUGAGCUGACGAGCAGGAACAGCGAGCAAUAGGAGCAGGAGCAAGAACAAAGUCAGAGGAUCACGCAUUUCCUCGAGUCCUAUAACGCCUUUGUGAGUUCAGCGCAACCUCAGACCGCGUGUUGAAUAUUAUUUUAGCCUUAUUUUAGUGGAGAAUUUGAUGAUAUUCAUGCAUACAUGACCACGACGUCUUCUCACCAUGGAUCGGUCUAAUUUUAGUGGAGAAUUUGAUGAUAUUCAUGCAUACAUAACCACGACGUCUUGAAUCUUCUCACCCAGCAUCAGCUGAAUUGAUUUUGAUGAUUCGAUGAUAUUCAUAACUACACCCAGCAUCGGAGAAAUCUAAUUCAACGAUAUUCAUUCGUAUAUGAAGGCCAUGUGAUGAAUUUAACAAAUAUUUUAAUUUAGUGCAAUUUGCAAAUUCCAGAAAACGUUUGCUUGCUGGGAUUAUGUAGCGUAUUGCUGUGAGAUAUUAGGUUUCCUGGCUGGUAUAUGUAGAAAACUGAUGUUCUAAAGUUGAAGUUUACCUAACGCGAAUUUCCGGCUUAUAAACAUAUAAGUUGAAAAAUGUACAAUUGUUUUCUUGAUAUCACUGAAGAAUAGCACUAAAUUUUGCACUCAAUAUCUCUUGUUGAUUUCAUUUAGUUACAAUUUUAAUACUGUAGUUUUCUCAUGAAAGACCAAUGUUUUUGUCUUUUGUAUCACUUCAAUGCUUUUAAUUUGUUUAUUAGCUGCCACACUACAACUGCUGUAACGAAGGUAUUCUUAAAAUGCACUGUUGAACAGUUCCUCGUUCGUAUCCAAUAACCUCAUCUCAGGGAGGUCUCUGGCCUUACCCGCCGCAGAAUGCAAAUUUGGCAUUAUAUAUUGUUCAAAACUUUGUAUUUCAUUUUACUUUUUUUACGUAAUUUGUCAAUACUCUGAUAACUUGCUUGUUAUUUAUAUUCAAUGGGAAUGAAGUAAUGCCGCCGACCGCUGGUGAGGCUGGAGACUAAGACCUCUGGAAUUCCCAGCUCCAUUAUUUUCGUUUCAUGUAAAUUUCUUCUACUAUUUGUCCCAUUCAAUUAGAAUUUUGAACGCGCUCGAAUUUUCUCGAAUUGAAUCUUAUUCCUAUAAUUUGCAUCAAUUUAUUUUUUUUUAUUCUCUAUUUUUGUGGAAAUGCCAAGCCAAGAAUUUAUUUGAAUUUGAAUUUCUUUCUCAAGAUCCCAUCUAGAAACAGUACAUAGUUAAA
rnacentral:misc_RNA from 1 species